GAUGAACGCUGGCGGCGUGCCUAAUACAUGCAAGUCGAACGCUGGAGAUCUAGCUUGCUAGAUCGAAGGAGUGGCGAACGGGUGAGUAAUACAUAAGCAACCUACCCACGAAGACUGGGAUAAUCUCUGGAAACGGGGACUAAUACCGGAUAGGUAAUCGGAAGGCAUCUUCUGGUUAUUAAAGGUUAAAAACACUGGUGGAUGGGCUUAUGGCGCAUUAGUUAGUUGGUGAGGUAACGGCCCACCAAGACGAUGAUGCGUAGCCGGCCUGAGAGGGUGAACGGCCACAUUGGGACUGAGCCACGGCCCAGACUCCUACGGGAGGCAGCAGUAGGGAAUUGUCGGCAAUGGGGGCAACCCUGACCGAGCAACGCCGCGUGAGUGAAGACGGCCUUCGGGUUGUAAAGCUCUGUUGUAAGGGAAGAACGGUAGAUAGAGAAUAUCUAAGUGACGGUACCUUACCAGAAAGCCACGGCUAACUACGUG
rnacentral:rRNA from 1 species